CCUGGGGAGCGGCAUGGUUGGGUCAAGGAGCCCCCCCAGCCCCAGGGCCCCUUCUCCGGCCUUUUCAGGACGAGUCUGACUAGCUCUCAGAAACUAUGUGCUGGUCCCUCUAGGCCCCUCUCCUCCUACUCCAGUUUACCCCCUCCUGGCAAGCGAAUCAGCCCAGUAAGAAGAUGAGAACUGCCACACAGGAGGCCACGGGAUGGAUGGAGAUGGAUAAGUGGGCAGAAUCCCUGGGAGCAGCAGGCCCUUGGAUCACAUCAGAGUUCAGCCUGAGAGAUCAGAUGACUCCAGAAGGAGGCUGGUUACCAGAAAGACCAACUAUGUGUCUAGGAGGUGGGGAUGUUGAGCCAGCAUGACAACCUCUAGGGAGUGGAGAAGGAUUGGGGAUUGCAUUCACCUGUGACCAACAGUUUAGUCAUGGCUACAUAAUGAAAUCACAAUAAAAAAUCUGAACACCAAAGCUCAUAGAACCUC